GUUUUCUAAACACCAAGGAUGUGGCUUGGACUUUCAAGUUUUAGUUUGAUUCCAGUAGGAGCAAUCCCCUACUCUAAAAAAUAGUACAGUUUCAGAAAGCACCUCCUGCUUCCGGCUGUUUCCCAUGCCUGGAAUGCAUGAGAUCAAAUCCCUUGCUUGGUAAUAUUACUGAUGCUCAUACCUUGCCCAGCCCCAAAUUAGACACCAUCUGCCUCUUCAUGAAGAGGUACAGGAAAUCAGACAACGAUUCAAAAUGAUGUCCCUGGAUCUUUACUCCCCUUUGGAAUUGACUCCUGACUCUCCUCAUUGCUGCCUCUUGGAAUUCCUCAUUUCUUUUGAAGAAUCAUCAAAAGUCUGGUGGCAAGACAAAAUUCAGGACAGCUGGUGAUGGCCCAGGAAGCAGU
rnacentral:lncRNA from 1 species